UUAAAUUGAAGAGUUUGAUCAUGGCUCAGAUUGAACGCUGGCGGCAGGCCUAACACAUGCAAGUCGAACGGGAACAGGAAGAAGCUUGCUUCUUUGCUGACGAGUG
rnacentral:rRNA from 1 species